rnacentral:rRNA from 1 species
GGCGCACGGGUGCGUAACACGUAGGUAACCUACCUUCUACUGGGGGAUAACUCCGGGAAACCGGAGCUAAUACCGCAUAAGAUAAUGAUCCGGCAUCGGGUAGUUAUUAAAGAUUUAUUGGUAGAAGAUGGACCUGCGUCCGAUUAGCUAGUUGGUAGUGUAACGGACUACCAAGGCGAUGAUCGGUAGGGGUUCUGAGAGGAAGAUCCCCCACACUGGCACUGAGAUACGGGCCAGACUCCUACGGGAGGCAGCAGUAGGGAAUAUUGGGCAAUGGCGGAAACGCUGACCCAGCCAUGCCGCGUGCAGGAAGAAGGCGCUCAGCGUUGUAAACUGCUUUUGCCAGGGAAGAAUGGCUAGUACGUGUACUAGAAUCGACGGUACCUGGUGAAUAAGCACCGGCUAACUCCGUGCCAGCAGCCGCGGUAAUACGGAGGGUGCAAGCGUUGUCCGGAUUUAUUGGGUUUAAAGGGUGCGUAGGUGGCUUUUUAAGUCCGGGGUGAAAGGCGGUGGCUCAACCACACGCAGUGCCCUGGAUACUGGGAGGCUCGAGUACGUGUGAGGCCGGUGGAACGGGUGGUGUAGCGGUGAAAUGCAUAGAUACCAUCCAGAACACCGAUUGCGGAGGCAGCCGGCUAACACGCAACUGACACUGAGGCACGAAAGCGUGGGGAGCAAACAGGAUUAGAUACCCUGGUAGUCCACGCUGUAAACGAUGCGAACUCGCUGUUGGCUCUUUGGAGUCAGCGGCUUAGCGAAAGCGUUAAGUUCGCCACCUGGGGAGUACGCCGGCAACGGUGAA